AAAAAAGUACAAUAUGGUUCAGUUAAUAUAGAAUAUCAGUCCAAGUCCAAAUAUAGAUAAUGAUGAAAGAAAAAUAUAAAUAAAAGUCAAUUAAGUCCUAUUCACAAUGUAAUGCUGGUAUAACUAGUAUAACUAGCCAAUACGUUGGUACAGGUAGCUCAGAGAGAGUAAUCCGGACAAGGCAUGGUCAGGAAUCCAGAAUAAACAAACUGAGAAAGUCACGUAAGAC